AUGAUUGAACUUCCUCUGAGCACAGUCGAUAUAGAAAAGAGGAAAUUAAUCAAAGAUUGGAGGAAAUCACGACUUACCUACCGGGGAGAAGUCCGGUACUCUUUCAAAGGUGUCGACGUUGCAAGAAAUCCAGAUAAUCCAUGUUUUCCAGAAAGAAGUUAUGAUAGGGAAGACGUAAUGAUGAAUGAAAGGUUGUUGAAGAAGUGUGAUGACGAUCAAGACUUGUAG